CUGUGUCUCCCGUCUGACACUUCUGAAAUUGGAGGGAGGGAGGGGAGGCAUUGUGAGCCUGGGUAUUCAGAGGUAUAAUAGGCCAGCUGAGCUGAAGGGAGAAUGCUUAACAUUUGUUCCUUUAGCUGGGAUUCUAUCAGCCCCUGUUUUCAUGUUGAUUGUCCACGGCGCUCUUGGCGGGCAAUUUUCCCCUUCGAAAGGGUGUCCUUUGGCUGCUUCCUUUGAUACAUACGGUACAGCUUUCUCGCGCAGCGUCCUGAGCAAUUUUCAGACGGUUCGUGGAUUUCUUGCUAUUGCGGUUCAUGAUAGGUUAGCGGGACAUCGCCUAGAGGCAAAGUAAUGGCCCAGUCUGAAAAAAGAAUGGUAAUGAAGUCUACCAAACCCGAAGAGUGCAUUUGAGGACGAUUUUACCAGGUUUGCUCCCCUCUACGUGACAACAUGGUAUAUCACACAGAUGUUUGGGGAGAGAACGAAUGUAUCUUUGGGUGGGGGAAUAAUUUAUUAACCCCUCUACCUCCUUCUUGGCCUGCUCCAAGAAUAAUCCAGUAAAAAUCUACCUGCAAGAA